rnacentral:rRNA from 1 species
UUGAUCAUGGCUCAGAUUGAACGCUGGCGGCAGGCUUAACACAUGCAAGUCGAGCGGAGAGAGGUAGCUUGCUACUGAUCUUAGCGGCGGACGGGUGAGUAAUACUUAGGAAUCUGGCUAUUAGUGGGGGACAACAUUUCGAAAGGGAUGCUAAUACCGCAUACGUCCUACGGGAGAAAGCAGGGGAUCUUCGGACCUUGCGCUAAUAGAUGAGCCUAAGUCGGAUUAGCUAGUUGGUGGGGUAAAGGCCUACCAAGGCGACGAUCUGUAGCGGGUCUGAGAGGAUGAUCCGCCACACUGGGACUGAGACACGGCCCAGACUCCUACGGGAGGCAGCAGUGGGGAAUAUUGGACAAUGGGGGGAACCCUGAUCCAGCCAUGCCGCGUGUGUGAAGAAGGCCUUAUGGUUGUAAAGCACUUUAAGCGAGGAGGAGGGUACUGGUAUUAAUACUACCAGGUACUGGACGUUACUCGCAGAAUAAGCACCGGCUAACUCUGUGCCAGCAGCCGCGGUAAUACAGAGGGUGCGAGCGUUAAUCGGAUUUACUGGGCGUAAAGCGUGCGUAGGCGGCUAAUUGAGUCGGAUGUGAAAUCCCCGAGCUUAACUUGGGAAUUGCAUUCGAUACUGGUUAGCUAGAGUGUGGGAGAGGAUGGUAGAAUUCCAGGUGUAGCGGUGAAAUGCGUAGAGAUCUGGAGGAAUACCGAUGGCGAAGGCAGCCAUCUGGCCUAACACUGACGCUGAGGUACGAAAGCAUGGGGAGCAAACAGGAUUAGAUACCCUGGUAGUCCAUGCCGUAAACGAUGUCUACUAGCCGUUGGUCUCUUUGAGGGAUUAGUGGCGCAGCUAACGCGAUAAGUAGACCGCCUGG